GACGAACGCUGGCGGCGUGCCUAACACAUGCAAGUCGAACGGGGUAAUUUCUUCGGAGAUUACUUAGUGGCGAACGGGUGAGUAACGCGUGAGAAACCUGCCUUUCAGAGGGGGAUAACGUUCUGAAAAGAACGCUAAUACCGCAUAACGUAUGAUGGUGGCAUCACCGACAUACCAAAGGAGCAAUCCGCUGAAAGAUGAGCUCGCGUCUGAUUAGAUAGUUGGUGAGGUAACGGCCUACCAAGUCGACGAUCAGUAGCCGACCUGAGAGGGUGAUCGGCCACAUUGGGACUGAGACACGGCCCAAACUCCUACGGGAGGCAGCAGUGGGGAAUAUUGGGCAAUGGGGGAAACCCUGACCCAGCAACGCCGCGUGGAGGAAGAAGGUUUUCGGAUCGUAAACUAUCGUAGACAGGGAAGAAUCAAGACAGUACCUGUAGAAUAAGCUCCGGCUAACUACGUG
rnacentral:rRNA from 1 species